rnacentral:rRNA from 1 species
ACGCACGCUGGCGGCGUGCCUAAUACAUGCAAGUCGAGCGAGCGGAACUAACAGAUUUACUUCGGUAAUGACGUUAGGAAAGCGAGCGGCGGAUGGGUGAGUAACACGUGGGGAACCUGCCCCAUAGUCUGGGAUACCACUUGGAAACAGGUGCUAAUACCGGAUAAGAAAGCAGAUCGCAUGAUCAGCUUUUAAAAGGCGGCGUAAGCUGUCGCUAUGGGAUGGCCCCGCGGUGCAUUAGCUAGUUGGUAAGGUAAAGGCUUACCAAGGCGAUGAUGCAUAGCCGAGUCGAGAGACUGAUCGGCCACAUUGGGACUGAGACACGGCCCAAACUCCUACGGGAGGCAGCAGUAGGGAAUCUUCCACAAUGGACGCAAGUCUGAUGGAGCAACGCCGCGUGAGUGAAGAAGGUUUUCGGAUCGUAAAGCUCUGUUGUUGGUGAAGAAGGAUAGAGGUAGUAACUGGCCUUUAUUUGACGGUAAUCAACCAGAAAGUCACGGCUAACUACGUG